rnacentral:rRNA from 1 species
UUUGAUCCUGGCUCAGGACGAACGCUGGCGGCGUGCCUAAUACAUGCAAGUCGAGCGGACAGAUGGGAGCUUGCUCCCUGAUGUUAGCGGCGGACGGGUGAGUAACACGUGGGUAACCUGCCUGUAAGACUGGGAUAACUCCGGGAAACCGGGGCUAAUACCGGAUGCUUGUUUGAACCGCAUGGUUCAAACAUAAAAGGUGGCUUCGGCUACCACUUACAGAUGGACCCGCGGCGCAUUAGCUAGUUGGUGAGGUAAUGGCUCACCAAGGCAACGAUGCGUAGCCGACCUGAGAGGGUGAUCGGCCACACUGGGACUGAGACACGGCCCAGACUCCUACGGGAGGCAGCAGUAGGGAAUCUUCCGCAAUGGACGAAAGUCUGACGGAGCAACGCCGCGUGAGUGAUGAAGGUUUUCGGAUCGUAAAGCUCUGUUGUUAGGGAAGAACAAGUGCCGUUCAAAUAGGGCGGCACCUUGACGGUACCUAACCAGAAAGCCACGGCUAACUA